rnacentral:sRNA from 1 species
CACCGCCUGGGGAGUACGACCGCAAGGUUAAAACUCAAAUGAAUUGACGGGGACCCGCACAAGUAGUGGAGCAUGUGGUUUAAUUCGAAGAUACGCGCAGAACCUUACCAACACUUGACAUGUUCGCCGCGACUUUAAGAGAUUAAAGUUUUCGGUUCGGCCGGACGAAACACAGGUGCUGCAUGGCUGUCGUCAGCUCGUGUCGUGAGAUGUUGGGUUAAGUCCCGCAACGAGCGCAACCCUCACUUUUAGUUGCCAUCAUUUAGUUGGGCACUCUGAAAGAACUGCCAGUGAUAAGCUGGAGGAAGGUGGGGAUGACGUCAAGUCCUCAUGGCCCUUACGUGUUGGGCUACACACGUGCUACAAUGGUAUCUACAACAGGAAGCAAAACUGCGAGGUUAAGCAAAUCCUUAAAAGAUACCUCAGUUCGGAUUGCACUCUGCAACUCGAGUGCAUGAAGCUGGAAUUACUAGUAAUCGUGGAUCAGCGUGCCACGGUGAAUGCGUUCCCGGGUCUUGUACACACCGCCCGUCACACCAUGGGAGUUGGUUCUACCUUAAGGCAAGGUUUUAAACCCUUGACCACGGUAUAGUCAGCGACUGGGGUGAAGUCGUAACAAGGUAGCCGUAGGGGAACCUGCGGCUGGAUUACCUCCUUUCUAAGGAUGAGUGAAAUUUUAUUUCAUUCUAAAUAAUUUACAUAGGCAAUGUUGACCGUCCUCAUUUCUCUUCUUAGAUUAGUGUUUCUCUUGCAUGGGGGCCGGUAGCUCAGUUGGUUAGAGCACACCCUUGAUAAGGGUGGGGUCGAAAGUUCGAGUCUUUCUCGGCCCACCAGUAAAAAAAUAUUAAGGGGGAUUAGCUCAGCUGGGAGAGCGCCUGAUUUGCAUUCAGGAGGUCAGCGGUUCGAUCCCGCUAUCCUCCACCAAAAACACUUAGUUAUAAAAAUUGUAAAGAAAAUAAUUAAUAUCAAUAUCUAUAUCCGAACAUUAGUGAUGUUAUUAGCUAAUGUUCAAAAAAAAUUUGAUUCAACACAGAAUUUUUUUCUG